rnacentral:misc_RNA from 1 species
GAAAUGCGAUAAGUAAUGUGAAUUGCAGAAUCCAGUGAAUCAUCGAAUCUUUGAACGCACAUUGUGCCCGCCAGCAUUCUGGCGGGCAUGCCUGUUCGAGCGUCAUUUCAACCCUCGACCUCCCCUUGGGGAGGUCGGCGUUGGGGACCGGCAGCACACCGCCGGCCCUGAAAUGGAGUGGCGGCCCGUCCGCGGCGACCUCUGCGUAGUAAUACAGCUCGCACCGGAACCCCGACGCGGCCACGCCGUAAAACACCCAACUUCUGAACGUUGACCUCGAAUCAGGUAGGACUACCCGCUGAACUUAAGC